ensembl:lncRNA
GAGGGACGUCUGCAGUUGUCACACACUGAGAGACACACCGGUGUCAAGCUGAGAGACCCUUGUUUCUACCUGGGGCUCGGCAGAAGCAUUUACUGGUCGGUCUGGAGUUUUUAGAACCCCCCUCCCCAGUCCCUCACAGAUUCUCUGCGACUCCUGCCCCUGCCAUGCGUCUGAAAAAGGACAUUGUGCUGCGAGGAGGAACGUUCCAACCUGCCCAGGCUUGCUCCCAUCUCAGCUCGCACACAAGUCCUAUAAGCAACCGUCCUCAGGCUGUGGCCGGCAGAC